rnacentral:lncRNA from 1 species
AUAAUCUACUAUGAGAAACAUCCAAGUACCGAACUCCAUCCAUCACAUUGUUAUUUGGGACCCACCCAAUGUGGUUCCCUGUCAGUGAGAAAGAGUGGGAUUGGGUUUUUUUAGAAGUGGGUACAAAAUUAUCACUAUCUGACAAGCGUGUGGUGGGAGUAUCAGGCAGCAUGAGCAUGGCUUAUUUUAAGUGCGAGCACCUCUCUUUUCAUCCACUAAUAUAGUUUAUCAUUGUGGUAGAAAAGAUUGAUAUAGUAUACGGUUAGAGGAGAGUGAACUACAAUAUUAAGGUUAAAGAUCUCAUGGACCCUGCAAACCCAACAGCAAAAUCUCAGAAUCAUCGUCUAAAUCAUGUGCCCGCAAUAGGAUGAGAAAACAUGGAGGCAAAGAUCUGAACAACAGACCCCUAAAAGCCCAACAAGUUAAACUUCAUCAACUUGCAUACCCAGAGAUUAGAACUUCCAAAGCAUCAUUAAACUAAUAAAAGCAGCUGCUGAUGCAGGCAGAUAACACGCAGUUUUCACUUUCCAUGUGGACAAGAAUCGCAUGACACUCCAUCAAUCCCAAUACCAAAAGCAACAAUUAAUACACCAUCCAUUAAAAUAAUAACGUUAAAUAACAUUUAAAAACAGCUUAACAAGACUGACAUAGUAUACAGGCAGCAAAUAAAUGAAAACGAGAUGGAAAGAAUGAUUAGUUUAAACAUGAACGAAAGCUUAACAGCAGGAGAAAGAUGAAUCCAAUGGCCAAUAUCAUUCCUAAUAUCCCCGUGCAUUAUUAGACCAGCAACUAGGAAAUUAGUUUCAAACUUAAAGCCCAUAAUUAAGACCAACAACAACAAAGAAGACAAACCUCAUAUCAAAUAUCCAUUAAAGAAAAGUAGGGGGGGGGAGAAAAACUGAAGGUCUUCAUUCCUCUCGCAUAUCUACUGUCUCCUCUCCUCUGCCAUGCAUCACUCGAUUUUCUCCCAGUAGAUCUAAAAACGGAAUCUAACAAGACAGGUCAAAAAACCACCGAGUUUCACUGCUAAGUGCUAACAACAACAUUUUUCUGGAAGAAAAAGGUGACUAACAAGAUUAAAAACAAGAACAGCAGCUGCAACAUGUUUCAUGACUCUCCCUAGCUAGUUUCUCUUCAAAGACCGCUGCAUCUCGUUAAGGUUCAAGAGGAAGGAGAACCGUUCACAGCUAAAUUGUUGCCGCCCCUAGUGUCGCCGCCGCUGCCAAGGCCAUUCCCCUCGUCGCCGCCAUCUCCGCCGCCGCCGCCGCCGCUGCCGCCACUGCCGCUGCCGNNN